CGGUAGUCAAACACAUCUGUAGCGACCCAUCUUUCUUCCUUACAAAUAAAACCGAUGCACCCCAUGUGACACACUCGGCCGGAUGAAACCCUCUUCUAGCAAAUCCUUAAAUUGUUCCUUUAGCUCUUUCAAUUAUACCGGUGCCAUUCUGUAAGAUGGAAUUGAUAUAGGCUCCGUGCCUGACAUCACAUCGAUCCCAGAAUCAAUCUCCCUAUCUGGAGGAUUUUCAGGGAGUUCAUCUAGGAAGACAUCCAAAAACUCAUUCACAACUGCCACAGACUCAAUGCUAGGUGCCUCGGCAUUGG
rnacentral:lncRNA from 1 species